GAAGACCGGCCGCUCGUCCGCUCGUGGCAGCGGCGGCGGUGCCUCGACUGGCGCACCGACGCGGAGUAUAAAACAAAUGUUUACUUAUGGGCAAAACAUGUUGAGGUCGAAGUUGGCAGGUUUAAGCUAACAUAACAUCACAAUAGUAAUCUGAAGUUGGAAGACAACAAUUAGAAUUAUUGGAUUGAAUGAUGGACAGCCAGCACGAUGCAAAAAUCAUAUAGAAAGCAACAGCUGUGAUUAAAUGAAUCCAGUGACAUGAUGAUUCACUUGAGUAGAAAUUUAGAAACAUACCUUGUUAUUGGAUAAAUAAAAGAAGGGUCAACCAUUGAGAUCAAGCUCAAAUUGAUGAGUAACUUUGCUGCUCCAUCACUCGGAUCCUUGUCCUGUACUUUAUGCUUCCUCCUUCCCUUGUGUAUGUUUCUGCAAAACCAUUUAAGAUGGAAAAAUAAGAAAGAAAAAACAAUAAUGGUACAUCAGAAAGUAGAAAGAACUGCUGGAUACGGGAACUUGUUUCCUAGUUUAGCAACCAGUGAUUUGUAAAAGUUGAGACAUACACCUAUUAUACAAGCAACAACAGAAGAACCUAAAUUCUGCUGCAGCAUAUUGUUCACUACCACUGAUGGUACACGUUCUCCCGAACUUAUGUGUAGCUUCAAAGCCGCAAAACCAUAGUGUCUGGUUGUUUCUGCUGCAGCUGCACCUAGCACAGACAAGCAUUGGAUUAACAUUGCUGAAAACUGAACCUAAAUAUGCAUCCCAUCAAACAGAAAUAGAGAGACAGGGAGAGAAAGGUGGGAUUGUGUGUAUACCUUCACGCAGCUUGUUAAGAUAAGUGACUAAGACAUGGCGGAGCUUAGCGGCACUUGGCAAAGAGGAGGACUUGGCAUGGGUGGACGAUGCAACAGGGGCGGAGCUUGCCCAUGGGAGGACGUCCAUGUACGGCGGCACGCUUGCUGGAGGAUGGCGAACACUGGCAGUGGCGAGUUCGGUUCCUCGGAAUGGUUGUUGGACACCGGGCCGCAACAGAGCAUGUGAAGCGGCGUCAACCCUUUGGAGCUGGGGCAGCAGCGGCCUGUGGGGAUCUGCGGCGAAGGUGGCUUCCCUAGGGAUCCGCGACAGUGUCGGUGGUGUCGUGGGGAUCCGAUCCCAUCCAGCGUCCCAUCUCCUUCCUCCCGUGCUCUCUUUCCUCUCCUGAUCUUCUCUCUCUCUCUCACCGGUACCCUACGCCAUGCCGCGCCCGUCAGCAAUUGUGCUCCAAGCUCCGGCCGCCUGCCUUCCAGAUCCACCCCCUGAGCACCACUUCCAACCGGAUCCAGCGAGAUCCGGCAGGUAAUCGUCGACCGGGCCACCGCAAGGUCGCGGGGCGGGGCAAGAGCCAGGAGGCGGCCGACGACGCGCGGGGCAUGGCAGGAGGUGGGCGGGGCAGGAGGCGUCCGGCGGCGCGCGGGUCGUGGUAGGAGGUGGACUUGGCGGGGCGGAGCGCCGCGAGGGCGAGGCGAGGCAGAUCGUGGCUGCGUUUUUCCCCUGUGUAAACCGUACCGGUUUG
rnacentral:lncRNA from 1 species